rnacentral:rRNA from 1 species
CUACGGGUGGCUGCAGUGGGGAAUAUUGCACAAUGGAGGAAACUCUGAUGCAGCAACGCCGCGUGGAGGAUGACACUUUUCGGAGCGUAAACUCCUUUUAUAUAGGAAGAAGAUGACGGUACUAUAUGAAUAAGCGCCGGCUAACUCCGUGCCAGCAGCCGCGGUAAUACGGAGGGCGCAAGCGUUACUCGGAAUCACUGGGCGUAAAGAGCGUGUAGGCGGAUUAAAAAGUCAGAAGUGAAAUCCUAUAGCUUAACUAUAGAACUGCUUCUGAAACUCUUAAUCUAGAAUAUGGGAGAGGUGGAUGGAAUUUCUGGUGUAGGGGUAAUAUCCGUAGAGAUCAGAAGGAAUACCGAUUGCGAAGGCGAUCUACUAGAACAUUAUUGACGCUGAGACGCGAAAGCGUGGGGAGCAAACAGGAUUAGAUACCCCAGUAGUC